rnacentral:rRNA from 1 species
GGGUAAGGAAGACAGACCCAGGGAACUGAAACAUCUAAGUACCUGGAGGAAGAGAAAGCAAAUGCGAUUUCCUGAGUAGCGGCGAGCGAAACGGAACAUAGCCCAAACCAAGAGGCUUGCCUCUUGGGGUUGUAGGACAUUCUAUACGGAGUUACAAAGGAACGAGGUAGACGAAGCGACCUGGAAAGGUCCGUCGUAGAGGGUAACAACCCCGUAGUCGAAACUUCGUUCUCUCUUGAAUGUAUCCUGAGUACGGCGGAACACGUGAAAUUCCGUCGGAAUCUGGGAGGACCAUCUCCCAAGGCUAAAUACUCCCUAGUGAUCGAUAGUGAACCAGUACCGUGAGGGAAAGGUGAAAAGCACCCCGGAAGGGGAGUGAAAGAGAUCCUGAAACCGUGUGCCUACAAAUAGUCAGAGCCCGUUAACGGGUGAUGGCGUGCCUUUUGUAGAAUGAACCGGCGAGUUACGAUCCCGUGCGAGGUUAAGCUGAAGAGGCGGAGCCGCAGCGAAAGCGAGUCUGAAUAGGGCGUUUAGUACGUGGUCGUAGACCCGAAACCAGGUGAUCUACCCAUGUCCAGGGUGAAGUUCAGGUAACACUGAAUGGAGGCCCGAACCCACGCACGUUGAAAAGUGCGGGGAUGAGGUGUGGGUAGCGGAGAAAUUCCAAUCGAACCUGGAGAUAGCUGGUUCUCCCCGAAAUAGCUUUAGGGCUAGCCUUAAGUGUAAGAGUCUUGGAGGUAGAGCACUGAUUGGACUAGGGGUCCUCAUCGGAUUACCGAAUUCAGUCAAACUCCGAAUGCCAAUGACUUAUCCUUAGGAGUCAGACUGCGAGUGAUAAGAUCCGUAGUCAAAAGGGAAACAGCCCAGACCGCCAGCUAAGGUCCCAAAGUGUGUAUUAAGUGGAAAAGGAUGUGGAGUUGCUUAGACAACUAGGAUGUUGGCUUAGAAGCAGCCACCAUUUAAAGAG